rnacentral:rRNA from 1 species
AUUGAACGCUGGCGGCAGGCCUAACACAUGCAAGUCGAGCGGAUGAAGGGAGCUUGCUCCUGGAUUCAGCGGCGGACGGGUGAGUAAUGCCUAGGAAUCUGCCUGGUAGUGGGGGAUAACGUCCGGAAACGGGCGCUAAUACCGCAUACGUCCUGAGGGAGAAAGUGGGGGAUCUUCGGAUCUCACGCUAUCAGGUGAGCCUAGGUCGGAUUAGCUAGUUGGUGGGGUAAAGGCCUACCAAGGCGACGAUCCGUAACUGGUCUGAGAGGAUGAUCAGUCACACUGGAACUGAGACACGGUCCAGACUCCUACGGGAGGCAGCAGUGGGGAAUAUUGGACAAUGGGCGAAAGCCUGAUCCAGCCAUGCCGCGUGUGUGAAGAAGGUCUUCGGAUUGUAAAGCACUUUAAGUUGGGAGGAAGGGCAGUAAGUUAAUACCUUGCUGUUUUGACGUUACCAACAGAAUAAGCACCGGCUAACUUCGUG